rnacentral:rRNA from 1 species
GAUGAACGCUGGCGGCGUGCCUAAUACAUGCAAGUCGAGCGAACAGACGAGGAGCUUGCUCCUCUGACGUUAGCGGCGGACGGGUGAGUAACACGUGGAUAACCUACCUAUAAGACUGGGAUAACUUCGGGAAACCGGAGCUAAUACCGGAUAAUAUAUUGAACCGCAUGGUUCAAUAGUGAAAGACGGUUUUGCUGUCACUUAUAGAUGGAUCCGCGCCGCAUUAGCUAGUUGGUAAGGUAACGGCUUACCAAGGCAACGAUGCGUAGCCGACCUGAGAGGGUGGUAGGCCACACUGGAACUGAGACACGGUCCAGACUCCUACGGGAGGCAGCAGUAGGGAAUCUUCCGCAAUGGGCGAAAGCCUGACGGAGCAACGCCGCGUGAGUGAUGAAGGUCUUCGGAUCGUAAAACUCUGUUAUUAGGGAAGAACAAAUGUGUAAGUAACUAUGCACGUCUUGACGGUACCUAAUCAGAAAGCCACGGCUAACUACGUG